rnacentral:tRNA from 1 species
UCCCUGGUGGCCUAGUGAUUAAGGAUCUGGCAUUGUCACUGCUGUGGCCUGGGUUCAAUCCCUGGCCUGGGAA